AUUGAACGCUGGCGGCAGGCUUAACACAUGCAAGUCGAGCGGGGGAAGGUAGCUUGCUACCGGACCUAGCGGCGGACGGGUGGGUAAUGCUUAGGAAUCUGCCUAUUAGUGGGGGACAACAUCUCGAAAGGGAUGCUAAUACCGCAUACGUCCUACGGGAGAAAGCAGGGGAUCUUCGGACCGUGCGCUAAUAGAUGAGCCUAAGUCGGAUUAGCUAGUUGGUGGGGUAAAGGCCUACCAAGGCGACGAUCUGUAGCGGGUCUGAGAGGAUGAGCCGCCACACUGGGACUGAGACACGGCCCAGACUCCUACGGGAGGCAGCAGUGGGGAAUAUUGGACAAUGGGCGGAAGCCUGAUCCAGCCAUGCCGCGUGUGUGAAGAAGGCCUUAUGGUUGUAAAGCACUUUAAGCGAGGAGGAGGCUACUUUAGUUAAUACCUAGAGAUAGUGGACGUUACUCGCAGAAUAAGCACCGGCUAACUCUGUGCCAGCAGCCGCGGUAA
rnacentral:rRNA from 1 species